UAACCUGCCCAUAAGACUGGGAUAACUCCGGGAAACCGGGGCUAAUACCGGAUAACAUUUUGAACCGCAUGGUUCGAAAUUGAAAGGCGGCUUCGGCUGUCACUUAUGGAUGGACCCGCGUCGCAUUAGCUAGUUGGUGAGGUAACGGCUCACCAAGGCAACGAUGCGUAGCCGACCUGAGAGGGUGAUCGGCCACACUGGGACUGAGACACGGCCCAGACUCCUACGGGAGGCAGCAGUAGGGAAUCUUCCGCAAUGGACGAAAGUCUGACGGAGCAACGCCGCGUGAGUGAUGAAGGCUUUCGGGUCGUAAAACUCUGUUGUUAGGGAAGAACAAGUGCUAGUUGAAUAAGCUGGCACCUUGACGGUACCUAACCAGAAAGCCACGGCUAACUACGUGCCAGCAGCCGCGGUAAUACGUAGGUGGCAAGCGUUAUCCGGAAUUAUUGGGCGUAAAGCGCGCGCAGGUGGUUUCUUAAGUCUGAUGUGAAAGCCCACGGCUCAACCGUGGAGGGUCAUUGGA
rnacentral:rRNA from 1 species